UCCGCAUUCCGUUAGUUAAAUAAUAAUCUUCCCCUGGGUUGUUGAUUUUAGUAAUGCGUGUUGAUUCUCUGCCACCUUGGAAAAGUGUUGUCAGAGCUACACAGGCCCUGAAAACCCAGGCUCUAGAAGACGGUGUGCUCUCUUCCGGGUCACGACAGCUCCCAGCAGGUCUAAGGCCAGACAUAUAUGUGCUUGUGAGAAUAACUCCUCUUCACAAGGACUCCAGGGAUGAACAGCCAAAAGACAACCUGGCUCUGUCACUCUGUCCACACAACUAACCUGUCAUGGAACCCCAGGCCCACAGCAUAAAGUAAGCACCACCUGUGUGCAGCCCCCAGGCUGAAGGAAGCCCACUGUGCCGUCACCAUAACUCCACAGGUCUCUGCUGAGCUCCUGGUCAAACUGAGGACAAAGCCUGAAUAAGUGUGCAGUCAGGUAAGAAAAACCUCCUGAAUCUCCUGUGCAAUGGGAAUUGGCUGAUUGAGUUGUCAGGCCAGUUCUGUCCCAGGCUGUCCGUUCUCAGGAUGUGGCCACUGACCAAGAGGAACUGUUCCUGUCAUACCAUUUGUGGGUCUUUUUUUGUUUGUUUGUUUUUUGA